ACUACGGAGAGUUUGAUCCUGGCUCAGGACGAACGCUGGCGGCGUGCCUAACACAUGCAAGUCAAGGCGGUAGCAAUACCGACUGGCGCACGGGUGCGGAACGCGUAGGCAAUCUGCCCACGAGGGGAGAACAACCAGCCGAAAGGUUGGCUAAAUCUCCGUAACAUAAGAAGCCGGCAUCGGUUUUUUAUCAAGCUUUCUUGUGGAUGAGCCUGCGUCUGAUUAGCUAGUUGGUAGUGUAACGGACUACCAAGGCUUCGAUCAGUAGCUGGUCUGAGAGGAUGAUCAGCCACAUUGGGACUGAGACACGGCCCAGACUCCUACGGGAGGCAGCAGUGGGGAAUCUUG
rnacentral:rRNA from 1 species